AGGGGAUGGACUAAGAUUUCCCAUGUCAUCAUAUGUAUAGCAUGCAUCAUUUUUGAAUAAAUUCAACUUUCCAACAGACAACAAUGGAUGUUGAGUGUUAUCAGACAGUGACAUUCAUCUCUUCAGGCGAGGGAGAAAAGUGCUGACAUUGUAGUUGACCUUCACUAAAUUCCUCUGUCUGCAUGUCUGGAGUCUCUGGGCCAACAGAGGUGAUGACAGCCCCCUAGUUGGCUUCCCUAAUGGGUCCAGAUGUCUGUGCAGAUUGCAAUCUGGAAAGUAGACUUCUAUAUUUAGUUUUUGACUUGAUUCUCACCACAACCCUCUGAAGUUGGCAAGCAGGAAUUAAGGUCAUUUUACCAGUGGGGACAUUUAAAGAAAUCCAAUGUCUUUCCCAAGGUCAUGCAGCUCCUGACAGGAACCCUCUUCUCCUCAUCCUGGCCCCGAGGUUGUAUCUGGUACCUACCUAGUGCCUCAUGUGUAGAAGCUGUUUCCAUUUCCACUCACAUGUAUAGAACCUUAUUUACAGAAACAACUUAAGCUUUGGGUGAUUUCUCUGCAAAAGUCCUCAGCAAUCUUGAUCUCUUUUUCCAAAGACUUUCAGAUGUUAUUACUAUAAACUGCAAAAUAUUGCUUGCUGGAACAAUUAAUUCAGGGUCCAGCAGAAAGCUUUCAAUAGCCAUCUACAAAUUAAAAUGAUUAAGUAGUUUACUCUGGGGAUGCAGCCUGUACUGCUAUUAAAUUAUUUGCAUACUGUUAAUGCUUUGCAUGUGGAGUCGUCCCAGUGGGCUCCAUUCUCCUGAGUGUCCCUUGUUUCUACUGCUCCCUAUGUGAUAAUGACUUCUUUAGUUGGUUGUCUUCUCCAAAGGGCUUCUAAACUUUUCACCCAAGUUUUUAUGUUCAUACCCAUAUUCACUCAUCAUUAUCUAGGCAGAAUUAAAGAUAUGUGAACACAAAUUACAUAAAUGUACACAGGACUUAAAAUGUUAGGCACAUUUUACGGAGAAUGUCCAGUCUUAUUUAAAGAAUUUGAGUUCUCUAUGUAUGUGUUUUGCAUGGAAAACAGCCAUCAUUAAAAAAGGAGAUGUUUACUAUAAAAAUGUCUGUGAGUUUCUCUUUUGCAGAUCAGUUCAUCUGUGGCAUAUUUUAUUUUGUAAGGUUC